AGAGAUUGGAGAUCUGCUGCCACAAGACAGGGAAGCAGGAACCACCAGGAGCUGGAAGAGGUGGCCUCAAACCCAGUCAGCGGCUCCUACACUGUGACCUCGCUCAGCUCCACUCCCCAGAACUCCAGGUCUGGCAGGUGUCAACUUGACAGAGCUAAGGGAUGCCCAGAAAGCUAGUUAAGCAUUAUUUCUGGAUGUGUUCACACGGCUGUUUGUGGAAGAGAUUAGCAUUCAAUUCCAUAGACUAUGUAAAGAGGCCCACCCUCACCAGUCUGCGACCUGAUACUACCACAAAUACGCAGGCAAAAGAUAAGUUCAUCAAAUACCAUAAGAAACUGCAGUAACAAUUCAGAGCA